rnacentral:rRNA from 1 species
GGCCGUCUAUCUUAAUGUCAUAACGACUCUCGGCAACGGAUAUCUCGGCUCUCGCAUCGAUGAAGAACGUAGCGAAAUGCGAUACUUGGUGUGAAUUGCAGAAUCCCGUGAACCAUCGAGUCUUUGAACGCAAGUUGCGCCCGAAGCCAUUAGGCCGAGGGCACGUCUGCCUGGGCGUCACGCAUCGCGUCGCCCCCCCUCCCUGCGCUCAGCGCGG